GCCAAGCAGCACAGCCUGCAGCUGGAUGUGAUACAUUUCAAUUCAAGGAAGACAGCCCUUUUAUGGUCCAGCUCUGUGGGAGAAUUGUGUGGAAGGGCAGUACUGCAUCGGGGCCCGGCUCUGCCUCAGCUGGAAAUUAUUCCUGGGGUUUCAGGAAGCUGAUCACGGAGAGAGACCAGAUCUAGGUGGAGAACCAAAGCAUAAGAGAAGUCAACAUCCAAUCCAAGAGGGAGAAAGCUGACAGACCAGCAAAACACAUCCACAGGCACAGGAAGGGCUGGGUUGGCUGCUUGUAUGUCUUACAACUCCAGAGUCUAUGAAUGCCAGAAUGGUCAAAACAUCAGUCUCACAGUGGAGAAGAGGCUUUGAUGACUCAUUCAACUCAGGUGCAGCCAGUGCUCAGGAAGAAGUGAUUCAGCUCACUGAAAAAUGGGCUGCUAGGAGGAGACUGCAAAAUAAACAGUAAGAGCUGCUGAGGGAAAUUGAGGCGUCCCUUCUGAGAAAACAUAUUCAAGAGACGGUAACGAGGAGGCCAUUGGCAAUGGCACCUCCGUCCGCUCCAGCUCUACCUGCUCUGCCCUUGGAUGAGUGAAAAGGCAAGGAAAAAGAAGCUUUUGAUUGUUUUUGCAACCUAAAUGAUAUGUAAGGAAAGGUACGAUUGUGGGGUCCUUGAUUUCUCAGGAAUGCACAUUCACCAUCCUCCAGAGAGGAGAGAAAAAGGCAGGCGCACUUUGUGCCUUAAGCUGUGCUGUAUGUUAACAAAGUUUCUGAGCAGGAUUAAUGUUUCAGGCCCUGAAUGCCCCACUCCAUGGGUAGUUAAUAGGCAGACUGCAAGCCAAAUCUGGACUACUACACACUUUUGAACAGACCCCAAAAUAUUGUUUUUGUUAUUUUUUAUUAUUUUCUAUGGACCUUGCCUAUACCUUGACCAAGAAAUUUGGCCCUUGUGAAAAAAUAAUUGACUAUCCCUGCUCCAGCCUGUAUGGAUGUUCUCAAGUAUGGUAGAUUUUGUUACAUGUAUUUCUGACUUUGGAAAAAAUAAUAUACUUAGGGCACGUCUACACAGCAACGUUAU